ensembl:lncRNA
AAUCUUUUUUUAGAGUUCCCUCCUUGGUGAUGCUUUCUCCUGUGAACCUGGGCUCUUCUGGUACAGGAGCAUGCCAGGCUGACAUAACCAGCAGACAGAAGAGAGGGAAGCAGAAGGGUAUUACUGAUCUUGUCUCUUCAGUGACAGCAACAGGACCCAAGGUCCACAAAAUAUAAUUUAAAAAUCUAAUUAAAGUGACUUCUCUGCUGCUGUAAAUCUGGGCAUAUUCAUCCGACCGGAGGCACAGGAGAAAGGCCACAUAAUGGUGAUGGUAUUCUUUUUCUGCUGGUUUUCGUCUAUUUAUUAACUACUCAGCACUUUAAUGUUUUGAAGUAUUUCUGAGACUUGAAUAGCAAAUGUAUCUGUAAAGCUACAAGGGGAAAUGCAUUUUUCUAAACUUCAUGUUGAAAUAUUAUGUCCAUGGUAGGUCAAGAAAGAUUCAAAAUGUAGAGUCCUUCACUCUACUUUAAAUGAGACCAAGCUCCAUGAACAGCUCCAUUAAAAGCCAGUAGGGAAAGAGGCCAUACUCAAAGACAAGGUAGAAAUCAGACACACGAUUGUCACAGAAAAUAGUAUUGGAGAUCCACAGUGCUGUGGCUUCCAGCUGUGUGCUGCCCUCUCUGAACAUGUUCUACUGAUGAAAGAGAGUAUAUGGGCAUUUCCUACGAACCCAUGAAAACCCUGCAGCUUAGCUUGAACCACUUCCCUCAACUAAAGUUAAGCCAUCGUUUCUUUUUCCCAGCUUCAUGACAGUGGAAUAGAGCUCAGUUCUCUCUGAACUAACGCUGAGCACUCACUUGGGUGAUCUCAUCAAUACCUGUGAGUUUUCUGAACCAGCUAACAAUGCUGUUCCAUCUGAUUGCAGGUGCUGUUAUUUCUUAGCAAUAGAAGGGAUAACAGUGGACUGGAAAUCUGGGGGGGGGGGGGGGGGGGGGGGGGGAAGGAACAAACAACAUAGGAAUGUGGGGCUUGGAAAUGCUUUGAUUAAGUUAAUUUCAGUUAGAAAGAAGAUUAAGGCUUUUAAUCAUACUUCAAAAUUAUGUUUCAAACCUGAAUGAGUUAGAUAUGCAGUUUUAGGUUCGGGGUUGAAUGUGAAUACUAACACCAGGAAUCACACUAUUAGUUUAGUUUUGGGAGAAGCUCUGGAUCUUGAGAGUUGGCCCUAAUGCUGCUGUAACCAUGUGCUGUAUCUCCACUCUUACCAAAAUGAGUGCUUUUCUACUCUCAGAUCACAGCUGUCACUCAUUCCUUUGAUCCAAGACUUUCAAAGAGUAGGGGAAAUUUUAUUAUUUGACUUCAGGGCUUGGAUUCCAACAGUGAGAGAUAUCAAGACAGAACAAGGAGAAUUUGGAUACGUAGCAUUAAUGCAAUCUGAUAACUAUAACAGUGUGAUCAAACAUUAUCAGAUCGAGCAUGUCUUCCACUGAAUUUAUAUUCAUGUUUUGAGGAGUACAUUCAGUAUAGUGUUACAGAAUUUCACUGCAAAGUUUAAUCUAAAAAAAUCUGUAUUAAUCUGGGAAAACUAAGUUCUGGAUUAUUAUUAUUCUGGAAUAAUGCUUUUUCCUCUGGAGUUUCUUUUAUGUUAAGGAAUAGCGGGCAGAACGUUAUCACUUACAGAUGCCUCAAUUCAGGUAUUGGAAUGUAAUUGUCACUAGUUCUGCAAAGUAAUCUUAAAGAGUCUGAAUACUGCUGGCAGGUACUAGAAACAUUGGAAACUCAGCACCACAGAAUCCAAUUUUACCAACCUUGAAUUAUUCUCUUGGUACAACGCAAUCUACUUCUAUAAGUCUUUCAGACAAGGAGGUCUAACCCACAGCUGUCCUCUCGACAAAUGGUGGGAACUUUCACAUCAGUGGGGUUUAUUUCCAAACAUCAGAGCCACCAUGCUUAGGGGAUAUGAGAAAUUUUGCCCAAAGUUCUGAGUCUGUCACCUGGCUGUUUGCACUGUUAACUUGAAAGAUAAACUUGAGAGACUAAACCUGGGAGCUUUCUCAGGAGUCACUUGAUGCCUGUAUAGAAGGUUCAAGUUGAUCUCUGGAAUAUCACUGAAAUUAACCUCACUGUAAUUAUUUGGUGUUUUCACUGGCAGACCCCAAGUUAUGAGAUAUACUAAUUAAGCAUCAUGAAGCUGCUGGGUGAAUAUCCUCAGGCAAAAGUAAAAUGCUUUUCAUUUGCUCUAGGAACACUUAUCAGUUUUCAUAAAUGCCAGUUGUCUGAAUGAAUAAAUUAAGAAAUGUCUCAGCU